GACGAACGCUGGCGGCGUGCCUAACACAUGCAAGUCGAACGGGGUAGCCCUUCGGGGCUACUUAGUGGCGAACGGGUGAGUAACGCGUGAGAAACCUGCCUCUCAGUGGGGGACAACAGUUGGAAACGACUGCUAAUACCGCAUAACACUUUAGUACCGCAUGGUACAGAAGUCAAAGCUUUAUGUGCUGAGAGAUGGUCUCGCGUCUGAUUAGCUAGUUGGCGGGGUAACGGCCCACCAAGGCGACGAUCAGUAGCCGGUCUGAGAGGAUGAACGGCCACAUUGGGACUGAGAUACGGCCCAGACUCCUACGGGAGGCAGCAGUGGGGAAUACUGGGCAAUGGGGGCAACCCUGACCCAGCAACGCCGCGUGAAGGAAGAAGGUCUUCGGAUUGUAAACUUCUUUUGUCAGGGACGAUAGUGACGGUACCUGACGAAUAAGCCACGGCUAACUGCGUGCCAGCCGCCGCGGUAACAC
rnacentral:rRNA from 1 species